CCUGCUUGCAGGGUACUCGAGUGGCGAACGGGUGAGUAACACGUGGGUGAUCUGCCCUGCACUUCGGGAUAAGCCUGGGAAACUGGGUCUAAUACCGGAUAGGAGCCAUUUUUAGUGUGAUGGUUGGAAAGUUUUUUCGGUGUAGGAUGAGCUCGCGGCCUAUCAGCUUGUUGGUGGGGUAAUGGCCUACCAAGGCGGCGACGGGUAGCCGGCCUGAGAGGGUGGACGGCCACAUUGGGACUGAGAUACGGCCCAGACUCCUACGGGAGGCAGCAGUGGGGAAUAUUGCACAAUGGGCGCAAGCCUGAUGCAGCGACGCCGCGUGGGGGAUGACGGCCUUCGGGUUGUAAACUCCUUUCGCUAGGGACGAAGCUUUUUGUGACGGUACCUAGAUAAGAAGCACCGGCUAACUACGUGCCAGCAGCCGCGGUAAUACGUAGGGUGCGAGCGUUGUCCGGAAUUACUGGGCGUAAAGGGCUCGUAGGUGGUUUGUCGCGUCGUCUGUGAAAUUCCGGGGCUUAACUCCGGGCGUGCAGGCGAUACGGGCAUAACUUGAGUACUGUAGGGGUAACUGGAAUUCCUGGUGUAGCGGUGAAAUGCGCAGAUAUCAGGAGGAACACCGAUGGCGAAGGCAGGUUACUGGGCAGUUACUGACGCUGAGGAGCGAAAGCAUGGGUAGCGAACAGGAUUAGAUACCCUGGUAGUCCAUGCCGUAAACGGUGGGCGCUAGGUGUGAGGGUCUUUUCACGACUUUCGUGCCGUAGCUACGCAUUAAGCGCCCCGCCUGGGG
rnacentral:rRNA from 1 species